rnacentral:misc_RNA from 1 species
GAUGAAGAACGUAGCGAAAUGCGAUACUUGGUGUGAAUUGCAGAAUCCCGUGAACCAUCGAGUCUUUGAACGCAAGUUGCGCCCGAAGCCACUAGGCCGAGGGCACGCCUGCCUGGGCGUCACACGCCGUUGCCCCCCCAUCUACUCCUUCGGGAUUGCGGGGGGGCGGAUGAUGGCCUCCUGUGCGCCUAGCCGCGCGGUUGGCAUAAAUACCAAGUCCUCGGCGACGCACGCCACGACAAUCGGUGGUUGCGAAACCUCGGUUGCCCGUCGUGUGCGUUCGUCGCGCAUCGAGGGCUCGAAAAAAUGCUCGGCUCCGGCUGGGCUUUCAACGCGACCCCAGGUCAGGCGGGGUUACCCGCUGAAUUUAAGCAUAUCAUAGCGAGGA